rnacentral:rRNA from 1 species
CUUUUGGUUUGGAAUAACACGAGGAAACUUGUGCUAAUACCGGAUAAGCCUUUACAGGGAAAGUUUUAAUGCCAAAAGAUGAGCCCGCACUUGAUUAGCUAGUUGGUAAGGUAAUAGCUUACCAAGGCAACGAUCAAUAGCUGUUCUUAGAGGAAGACCAGCCACAUUGGGACUGAGACACGGCCCAAACUCCUACGGGAGGCAGCAGUGGGGAAUCUUGCACAAUGGGGGCAACCCUGAUGCAGCGAUGCCGCGUGAGUGAAGAAGGCCUUUGGGUUGUAAAACUCUUUCGUCGGGGAAGAAAAUGACUGUA